GAAGGCCCAGACAGCCAGGAUGUUGGCUUAGAAGCAGCCAUCAUUUAAAGAAAGCGUAAUAGCUCACUGGUCGAGUCGGCCUGCGCGGAAGAUGUAACGGGGCUAAACCAUGCACCGAAGCUGCGGCAGCGACACUCAGGUGUUGUUGGGUAGGGGAGCGUUCUGUAAGCCUGCGAAGGUGGCCUGUGAGGGUUGCUGGAGGUAUCAGAAGUGCGAAUGCUGACAUAAGUAACGAUAAAGCGGGUGAAAAGCCCGCUCGCCGGAAGACCAAGGGUUCCUGUCCAACGUUAAUCGGGGCAGGGUGAGUCGACCCCUAAGGCGAGGCCGAAAGGCGUAGUCGAUGGGAAACGGGUUAAUAUUCCCGUACUUGGUGUUACUGCGAAGGGGGGACGGAGAAGGCUAUGUUGGCCGGGCGACGGUUGUCCCGGUUUAAGCGUGUAGGUGUGUGUUCCAGGUAAAUCCGGUUCACUUUAACACUGAGGCGUGAUGACGAGGCACUACGGUGCUGAAGCAACAAAUGCCCUGCUUCCAGGAAAAGCCUCUAAGCAUCAGGUAACAUCAAAUCGUACCCCAAACCGACACAGGUGGUCAGGUAGAGAAUACCAAGGCGCUUGAGAGAACUCGGGUGAAGGAACUAGGCAAAAUGGUGCCGUAACUUCGGGAGAAGGCACGCUGACACGUAGGUGAAGUGAUUUACUCAUGGAGCUGAAGUCAGUCGAAGAUACCAGCUGGCUGCAACUGUUUAUUAAAAACACAGCACUGUGCAAACACGAAAGUGGACGUAUACGGUGUGACGCCUGCCCGGUGCCGGAAGGUUAAUUGAUGGGGUCAGCGCAAGCGAAGCUCCUGAUCGAAGCCCCGGUAAACGGCGGCCGUAACUAUAACGGUCCUAAGGUAGCGAAAUUCCUUGUCGGGUAAGUUCCGACCUGCACGAAUGGCGUAAUGAUGGCCAGGCUGUCUCCACCCGAGACUCAGUGAAAUUGAACUCGCUGUGAAGAUGCAGUGUACCCGCGGCAAGACGGAAAGACCCCGUGAACCUUUACUAUAGCUUGACACUGAACAUUGAGCCUUGAUGUGUAGGAUAGGUGGGAGGCUUUGAAGUGUGGACGCCAGUCUGCAUGGAGCCGGCCUUGAAAUACCACCCUUUAAUGUUUGAUGUUCUAACGUGGACCCGUGAUCCGGGUUGCGGACAGUGUCUGGUGGGUAGUUUGACUGGGGCGGUCUCCUCCUAAAGAGUAACGGAGGAGCACGAAGGUUGGCUAAUCCUGGUCGGACAUCAGGAGGUUAGUGCAAUGGCAUAAGCCAGCUUGACUGCGAGCGUGACGGCGCGAGCAGGUGCGAAAGCAGGUCAUAGUGAUCCGGUGGUUCUGAAUGGAAGGGCCAUCGCUCAACGGAUAAAAGGUACUCCGGGGAUAACAGGCUGAUACCGCCCAAGAGUUCAUAUCGACGGCGGUGUUUGGCACCUCGAUGUCGGCUCAUCACAUCCUGGGGCUGAAGUAGGUCCCAAGGGUAUGGCUGUUCGCCAUUUAAAGUGGUACGCGAGCUGGGUUUAGAACGUCGUGAGACAGUUCGGUCCCUAUCUGCCGUGGGCGCUGGAGAACUGAGGGGGGCUGCUCCUAGUACGAGAGGACCGGAGUGGACGCAUCACUGGUGUUCGGGUUGUCAUGCCAAUGGCACUGCCCGGUAGCUAAAUGCGGAAGAGAUAAGUGCUGAAAGCAUCUAAGCACGAAACUUGCCCCGAGAUGAGUUCUCCCUGAGACUUUAGGUCUCCUGAAGGAACGUUGAAGACGACGACGUUGAUAGGCCGGGUGUGUAAGCGCAGCGAUGCGUUGAGCUAACCGGUACUAAUGAACCGUGAGGCUUAACCUUACA
rnacentral:rRNA from 1 species